UUUAGGAUGCUUAGUAUUGAGAAA
rnacentral:siRNA from 1 species